CUUUAAGUGUUUCCAAAAAUUUAUUGACUGAAAAAAUAGUUUGUUGACUACAACAGCAUAGAACAAAUACCUAUCACAAACAGUAUGAAGCUGAAGCAAUGAAUAAAUUGAAAUGGUGAAAAAGCAUUCAACUGGCUGAGUUAAGGGAGACAACUCUUACUGGUCAAGCUUAACAUUUGAACCAAUUAUUCUCAUCAAACCUUUUAUAACACAAGGUGGUGGUGGGUGGGGG